UACGAAGGGGGGCUAGCGUUGCUCGGAAUCACUGGGCGUAAAGCGCACGUAGGCGGAUUGUUAAGUCAGGGGUGAAAUCCUGGAGCUCAACUCCAGAACUGCCUUUGAUACUGGCGAUCUUGAGUCCGGGAGAGGUGAGUGGAACUGCGAGUGUAGAGGUGAAAUUCGUAGAUAUUCGCAAGAACACCAGUGGCGAAGGCGGCUCACUGGCCCGGUACUGACGCUGAGGUGCGAAAGCGUGGGGAGCAAACA
rnacentral:rRNA from 1 species